UCCCGAGCGUUNUCCGGAUUUAUUGGGCGUAAAGCGAGCGCAGGCGGUUAGAUAAGUCUGAAGUUAAAGGCUGUGGCUUAACCAUAGUACGCUUUGGAAACUGUUUAACUUGAGUGCAGAAGGGGAGAGUGGAAUUCCAUGUGUAGCGGUGAAAUGCGUAGAUAUAUGGAGGAACACCGGUGGCGAAAGCGGCUCUCUGGUCUGUAACUGACGCUGAGGCUCGAAAGCGUGGGGAGCGAACAGGAUUAGAUACCCUGGUAGUCCACGCCGUAAACGAUGAGUGCUAGGUGUUAGGCCCUUUCCGGGGCUUAGUGCCGCAGCUAACGCAUUAAGCACUCCGCCUGGGGAGUACGACCGCAAGGUUGAAACUCAAAGGAAUUGACGGGGGCCCGCACAAGCGGUGGAGCAUGUGGUUUAAUUCGAAGCAACGCGAAGAACCUUACCAGGUCUUGACAUCCCGAUGCCCGCUCUAGAGAUAGAGUUUUACUUCGGUACAUCGGUGACAGGUGGUGCAUGGUUGUCGUCAGCUCGUGUCGUGAGAUGUUGGGUUAAGUCCCGCAACGAGCGCAAGCCUUAUUGUUAGUUGCCAUCAUUCAGUUGGGCACUCUAGCGAGACUGCCGGUAAUAAACCGGAGGAAGGUGGGGAUGACGUCAAAUCAUCAUGCCCCUUAUGACCUGGGCUACACACGUGCUACAAUGGCUGGUACAACGAGUCGCAAGUCGGUGACGGCAAGCUAAUCUCCUAAAGCCAGUCUCAGUUCGGAUUGUAGGCUGCAACUCGCCUACAUGAAGUCGGAAUCGCUAGUAAUCGCGGAUCAGCACGCCGCGGUGAAUACGUUCCCGGGCCUUGUACACACCGCCCGUCACACCACGAGAGUUUGUAACACCCGAAGUCGGUGAGGUA
rnacentral:rRNA from 1 species